GUGCAAACGUGAGUACGUCGGAUCAAUGAGCCCGAAGUACUGGGGGGGAGUGUUGCAACUUCGCGUGCAUCGCACCAUACAUCCAAACACAUUACCGGUACCAACCUUUAGUUGUCAUCCUUGCCCACGGUGACGGAGAUUCAUUGUGUUAGCCAUAGAAGUGUCAGAUAACGUCAGUCGAGGAAAAAAAAAACAUGCAAGUCAGCUAAGACCAGUCAUGUGGAGUUUGUCCAUAAAAGAAAGUGCAUUUUUUGAGUUAAAAUACCUCAUAAUUACUGCUAAACUAAAACUAGAACUAAAUUUAAAAGUCUAUCCUAGUUGAAAGUGUGUAAAACAAGUGGAUUAAGUGCGUCAGCAAACAAGUAAUCAGAAGUUAAUUAAAUAGUACGGCUUCUAAAAUAUCUAGGUUAGUUGAAAGUUAUCUGUUCAAGAAAACAAAUUGAAUUAAAUUAUCUAAAUUUUAAUACAGUUUCCUGAGCACCUAUAAUCUACUGGAACAUACUAAGAUACUCAAACGAACAUAGAACACAUUAAAACAGCUAAAUUUUGCUGCCUUCAUUAUUAUUUCUAUUGCGAGCAAGCAAGUCACGAGUCAGAGACACUAAACGAGUUUUUUAACUUCGUUAUCAACAAAUAUACGUCGUUCAAAAAAUCGGAUACCUGUCUCUCGUUCGUUGCAAUUGCAACACUAUUAAUGGACAUUGAUUGAUAUGAUACACCUUUCGUAUCAUUGCUACAUUAGGCUUGAAAAUAUUGUUUAGUUCAGUUAUAAGAUUCAAGGAAUUCGCUCGAUAUGGCUAGCAUCUUUCAGGAAUUCAAGCCUUUGCGUAAUUGUUGGUGAACAUGGUCCUAUUGGCGUCUUUCAUCUUCCGUUGAUUCAAGUUAGCUAUACAUUGUUCUGUUUUUUUUUUUUCUCAAGUUUGUCCUGACUUUGAUUUCUGACGUUAUUUAAAUAUUUGCACUCGAAACACUCAAUUACAUUUUCUGGGACAGGGUUACCUGUACUGUUGAAUUGGGCAGUAUGCAGAUGGCUCUAUGAUGUAUGUACUCAUUACGAACUACUAACAGUGCAAUUUACAUCAUCGCUCGUUCUCUUUACGCAGCUUUUUAUCAUUCGUCACUUAUUGUAGCUUAUACACUUAUACGUUUUUAUAAUAGGAACUCACUAGAAGCUUAACCAGUAAAAACCGUAAACUCUCCCUAUUACCCCUAUGCCUCG